rnacentral:misc_RNA from 1 species
AAGUCGUAACAAGGCUUCCGUAGGUGAACCUGCGGAAGGAUCAUUAUCAUAACGUAUCCACGUAUAAACCAACUUUAAAUUGAUGUGAAACGUAACUGUUUUAACACCUCGAGAUAAUCAGAUGAUUGCUAUACUUUACAUUGUUUGCGUGAUUAAAGCAAAAACGGUUUAGUAUGGACCUGUGCCUGUAACAAGGUGCUAGCGCUGAUUAUUUGGAGUGUAAAAAUUUAAUCAACUAUUAACCCAUUGAACCGAAUUACUAUAUUCUUAACUGAGUUUAGUUAUUCAUUUUAAUUUCUAUUGUGUGAACUGAAUUGUCUACUUACUUGACACCGUCAUUGGUGGAGAGAAGUCGAUUAUAUUUACGAAACAUUAUAAAUUUCUAUGAACAACUCUUAGCAACGGAUAUCUUGGUUCUC